GAUUUAAUCAAAGUUAUUAUUAAAUAAUAUUGAUUUUGGAUGAAUUUAAUUUUUUAAUUAUAUUUUUGAAUUUUAAUUUUAUUAUUUUGAUUUAAUAUUUUUAAAAUAUUAUAUAUUUUAGAUUUAAAUUUGUUGUUUUAUAUUUAGUUUAAUGUUUAUAAAUUGAUAAUUAAUUUGUUUUAUUUUAAAGUUUUUAUGAACUGUGAUUUAUAGUUUAUUAUUCUAG
rnacentral:rRNA from 1 species